rnacentral:rRNA from 1 species
UACAGAGGGUGCGAGCGUUAAUCGGAAUUACUGGGCGUAAAGCGUGCGUAGACGGUCAUGUAAGUCGGGUGUGAAAGCCCCGGGCUCAACCUGGGAAUUGCAUUCGAGACUGCAUGGCUAGGAUGCGGAAGAGGGAAGCGGAAUUUCCGGUGUAGCGGUGAAAUGCGUAGAUAUCGGAAGGAACACCAGUGGCGAAAGCGGCUUCCUGGUCUAGCAUCGACGUUCAGGCACGAAAGCGUGGGGAGCAAACAGG